rnacentral:rRNA from 1 species
UGGAUCCAGACUUUGAUUCUGGCUCAGGAUGAACGCUAGCUACAGGCUUAACACAUGCAAGUCGAGGGGAAACGAUAGAGAAAGCUUGCUUUUUCUAGGCGUCGACCGGCGCACGGGUGAGUAACGCGUAUCCAACCUGCCCACCACUUGGGAAUAACCUUGCGAAAGUAAGACUAAUACCCAAUGACGUCUCUAGAAGACAUCUGAAAGAGAUUAAAGAUUUAUCGGUGAUGGAUGGGGAUGCGUCUGAUUAGCUUGUUGGCGGGGUAACGGCCCACCAAGGCGACGAUCAGUAGGGGUUCUGAGAGGAAGGUCCCCCACAUUGGAACUGAGACACGGUCCAAACUCCUGCGGGAGGCAGCAGUGAGGAAUAUUGGUCAAUGGGCGAGAGCCUGAACCAGCCAAGUAGCGUGCAGGAAGACGGCCCUAUGGGUUGUAAACUGCUUUUAUAAGGGAAUAAAGUGAGUCUCGUGAGACUUUUUGCAUGUACCUUAUGAGUAAGGACCGGCUAAUUCCGUGCCAGCAGCCGCGGUAAUACGGAAGGUCCGGGCGUUAUCCGGAUUUAUUGGGUUUAAAGGGAGCGUAGGCCGGAGAUUAAGCGUGUUGUGAAAUGUAGACGCUCAACGUCUGCACUGCAGCGCGAACUGGUUUCCUUGAGUACGCACAAAGUGGGCGGAAUUCGUGGUGUAGCGGUGAAAUGCUUAGAUAUCACGAAGAACUCCGAUUGCGAAGGCAGCUCACUGGAGCGCAACUGACGCUGAAGCUCGAAAGUGCGGGUAUCGAACAGGAUUAGAUACCCUGGUAGUCCGCACGGUAAACGAUGGAUGCCCGCUGUUGGUCUGAAUAGGUCAGCGGCCAAGCGAAAGCAUUAAGCAUCCCACCUGGGGAGUACGCCGGCAACGGUGCAACUCAAAUGAAUUGACGGA